CGGCGUGCUUAACACAUGCAAGUCGAACGAACCUUCGGGUUAGUGGCGGACGGGUGAGUAACGCGUGAGAAUCUGCCCUCAGGAGGGGGAUAACAGCUGGAAACGGCUGCUAAUACCCCAUAUGCCGCGAGGUGAAAUGAAUUUCGCCUGAGGAUGAGCUCGCGUCUGAUUAGCUAGUUGGUGUAGGUAAUGGCUCACCAAGGCAUCGAUCAGUAGCUGGUCUGAGAGGAUGAUCAGCCACACUGGGACUGAGACACGGCCCAGACUCCUACGGGAGGCAGCAGUGGGGAAUUUUCCGCAAUGGGCGAAAGCCUGACGGAGCAACGCCGCGUGAGGGAUGAAGGCCUCUGGGCUGUAAACCUCUUUUAUCAAGGAAGAAGAUCUGACGGUACUUGAUGAAUAAGCC
rnacentral:rRNA from 1 species